rnacentral:rRNA from 1 species
CCCUUAGAUGUUCUGGGCCGCACGCGUGCUACACUGAGUGGAUCAGCGGGUCAGGUUACGCGAGAGCGUUUCCUAAUCUUCAAAUCCGCUCGUGAUGGGGAUUGACGGUUGCAAUUUUCCGUCAUGAACGAGGAAUACCUUGUAAGCGCGGGUCAUCAUCCCGCGCUGAAUACGUCCCUGCCCUUUGUACACACCGCCCGUCGCUCCUACCGAUUGAGUGGUCCGGUGAGGCUUUGGGAUCUAAGCGAAAAGAGCGUUUCGCUCCUUUUGUUGGGAGAACUCAGUCGAACCUUAUCAUUUAGAGGAAGGAGAAGUCGUAACA